rnacentral:rRNA from 1 species
GAUGAACGCUAGCUACAGGCUUAACACAUGCAAGUCGAGGGGCAGCGGGAUUGAAGCUUGCUUCAAUUGCCGGCGACCGGCGCACGGGUGAGUAACGCGUAUCCAACCUUCCGUACACUCAGGGAUAGCCUUUCGAAAGAAAGAUUAAUACCUGAUGGUAUGAUGAGAUUGCAUGAUAUCAUCAUUAAAGAUUUAUCGGUGUACGAUGGGGAUGCGUUCCAUUAGGUAGUAGGCGGGGUAACGGCCCACCUAGCCAAUGAUGGAUAGGGGUUCUGAGAGGAAGGUCCCCCACAUUGGAACUGAGACACGGUCCAAACUCCUACGGGAGGCAGCAGUGAGGAAUAUUGGUCAAUGGACGAGAGUCUGAACCAGCCAAGUAGCGUGAAGGAUGAAGGUCCUACGGAUUGUAAACUUCUUUUAUAAGGGAAUAAACCCUCCCACGUGUGGGAGCUUGUAUGUACCUUAUGAAUAAGCAUCGGCUAACUCCGUG